GUGAAUCAUCAAAUUUUUGAACGCAUAUUGCACUCGCUGGUAUUCCGGCGAGUAUGCCUGUUUGAGGGUAAUUAAAAAGAAUCUUUUACCCAUUUUUUUGGUCAAAGGAAAUGAGUUCACCGCGUAUAUAGCGGUAGCUUCAAACAAAUGGUCAAGUCUCAUUUUAGCCGACACGCGUAAUAAUAUUAUUUCGCGAACUCCUCAUUAUGUGACUAUCAAGUUUUGGUGCAUACAAAU
rnacentral:misc_RNA from 1 species